ensembl:lncRNA
AUCAAAUGCCUUCUCUGCAUCUAUUGAGCUUAUCAUGUGGUUUUUGUUCCUCAUUUUGUUAAUGUGGUGUAUCACAUUUAUUGAUUUGCGGAUGUUGAACCAUUCUUGCAUCCUUGAUCAGUAUAAAUCUCACUUGAUCAUGGUGUAUGAUCCUUUUAAUGUAUUGCUGUAUUCGGUUUGCCAAUAUUUUGUUGAGGAUUUUUGCAUCUAAGUUCAUCAGCGAUAUUGGCCUGUAGUUUUCCUUCUUUGUGUUGUCCUUAUCUGGCUUUGGUAUCAGGGUGAUGUUGGCCUCAUAGAAUGUGUUAGGAAGUGUUCCAUCUUAAUCAAUUUUUUGGACAUAGUUUGAGAAGCAUAGGUGAUAAAUCUUCUUUGAAUGUUUGGUAGAAUUCUCCAGAGAAGCUGUCUGUUCCUGGACUUUUAUUCUUUGGGACGUUUUUGAUUCCUGUUUCAAUCUCUUUACUUGUGAUUGGUCUAUUCAGAUUCUCUAUUUCUUCUUGAUUCGGUUUUGGGGGUUGUAAGAGUGUAAGAAUUCAUGCAUUUCUUCUAGAUUGUCCAAUUUCUUGACAUAUAGUUUUUCAUAAUAGUCUCUUAUAAUCUUUUGUAUUUCUGCAUUAUCUGUUGUAAUUUCUCCUCUUUCAUUUCUAAUUCUAUUUACUUGAGCCUUCUCUCUUUUUGUGUUAGUGAGGAUUGGCUAAGGGGUUGUCAAUUUUGUUUAUCUUUUCAAAUAACCAGCCAUUUGUUUCACUGCUCCUUUCUACUAUCUUUUUUGUUUCAAUUUAAUUUAUUUCUGCUCGAAUUUUUAUUGUUUCCCUCCUUCUGCUGAGUUUGGGCUUUGUUUGCUCUUCUUUUUCUAAUUCUUUUAGGUGUAGUGUAGGAUUGCUUAUUUCAGAUUUUUCUUGUUUGUUAAGGUGAGCCUGUAUUGCUGUAAGUUUCCCUCUUAGGACUGCUUUUGCUGCAUCCCAUGUGAGUUGCUAUGGUGUGCUUUCAUUUUCAUUUGUCUCCAGAUGCUUUUUGAUUUUCCCUUUGAUUUCUUCAUUGAUCCGUUGGUUGUUCAGUAGCAUGUUGUUCAGUCUCAACAUCUUCGUCCCUUUCUCAGCUUUUUUCUUGUAGUUGAUUUCUAGUUUCAUAGCAUUAUGGUCAGAAAAGAUGCUAUAUGAGUUCAUCUUCUUAAAUUUCUGGAGGCUUGCCUUGUUUCCCAACAUAUGGUCUAUCCUUGAGAUUGUUCCAUGAGCACUUGAGAAUAAUGUGUAUUCUGCUGUUUUUGGAUGGAGUGCUCUAUAUAUGUCUAUUAAGUCCCUAUGGUCUAGCUUUUCAUUUAAUUCCACUAUUUCCUUUUAGACUUUUUGUUGGGAUGAUCUUUCCAUUGAUGUUGGUGGAGUGUUGAGGCCCUUUGCUAUUAUUGUGGUGUGGUUAAUAUCUCCUUUUAGGUUUGUUAAUAGUUACUUUAUGUACUUUGGUGCUCCCGUGUUGGGUGCAUAUAUAUUUACAAGUGUCAUGGCUUCUUGGUGGAUUGUCCUUUUUAUCAUCAUAUACUGCCCCUGUUUGUCUCUCUUUACUUGUUUUUUCUUGAAAUCUGCUUUGUCUGAUGUAAGUAUGGCAACAUCUGCUUUCUUUUGUUUUUCAUUAGCUUGCAUAUCCUCUUCUGUCUCUACACUCUGAGCCUGUGUUUGUCUUUGGAGCUGAGAUGUGCUUCCUGGAGGCAGCAUAUUGUUGGGUCUUGUUCUCUAAUCCAUCCUGCCACCUCUGUGUCUUUUGAUUGGGGAAUUCAAUCUAUUUUCAUUUGUAGUGAUUAUUGCUAUAUGAAGGCUUAAUGCUGCCGUCUUAUCACUCAUUUUCUGGUUCUUCUGCAUUUGAGAUAGUGUAUUUUUACAACAAGAAUGAAUUCACGUUUUACUUCUUACCAAAAACAAAUAAAAAUUUAAAAAUACUGUGCCUUUCUCAGGUAAAGGCAAGAAUGCUGUUGCCGAGAGGCUCACUCUAAGGGAUGACGUUUUCCAGCUCUGACUCCUAACGUGCGCUCUGCCCGCAGUGCUGCUUGAACUUCAUUCUGCCUGCAGAGCACCAUACGUACAGACACCUGCUGUCUUCUGUUAAACUGCAGGUUCUGGCCAGUAACCAUUAGGCCUUCACCUUCGGUCUGGAAGCAAGACUUCUGUGAGGCAACCUCAUGGUCCGUGUGUUAAAUAUUCUAUCAAAAUACUUUAAAAAUUGAUACCUCAAUUGGUUUGCACUUCUUUCUCCACAUCCAACACCAAAGCAAUGCAAUGAGAAAAGAAAGAAAAACAGGUACAGAUUCUUUAAAGAAACACCAAGCAGUCAUUAUUUGCAGCUUGUGUAAUUGUCUACCAAGAAAACUUCAGAGUUUGAUGACAAAUAUCGAGAGUUCAAUAAGACACUCACAGCAAGAUCAACAUUCAAAAUCAAUGGUUUUCUAUCAAAACAAAAACCAAUUUUAAAGUACAAUAGGAAAAACUGUUUAAAAUUUUGUAAAAACUUCAAAAAUACCUGGGAAGAAUCCUGCAAGAAAUGCCUGAAGCUCUCAAGGAGAAACUCCCCCAGAAAUCUGCUUCCCCUCAAGGCUGAACAAGAACAAAAAAAGUGGAACAUUUCCCCCUCCCUCCCACCAUCCCCCCUCAGUUUCCCCUGGGAAUUUGCUGAUGACAAGAAGACUCUUGCUGUCAGAACUCAUUGGUCAUUUCCUCUUCUUUCUCCAGCUUCCCGUCCAAAUAUUCUGAUUUUCUCUGCCUGCCUCCUACUUUACCCUUUAAAAGAAAACCCUUGUCUGUGUGAUUGUGACAAACUCACAGAGUCCUGGGACCUGAGCAUCCUCCCUAUUGCAGUAGUCUUUCUAACUCAAGUCUUUCCUUAUCCUACUCACUUGGUAUUAUGUGACAUAAAGUACAGAAAUUUACCUCAUAAGAUUUACAAAAUCAACAAACCUAUGGAAUUUUAAAAAGUGUGACAUGUUUCAGAAAGAGAAACAGAAUAAAGAAUACACCAAAUAUAGCAAUUUAGUAUUCAAAAGAAAUGGAAUCUCAAAUCAAUGUGUGAAAAGUGUCAUGUGAAAUCAGUGUAGAAACAAUGUUCUCUCCAAUAAAUGGUGUCAGAACAGCAGGAUAUUCAUUUAGGUAAAAUUAUCUACUAAACAAAUUCCAUGUACAUUAAAACCUACCAAAAUUAUCACAAUAUUAGAAAAUGAAGGGCAAUAUUCUAGACAAGAACUAACUCAAAAAAUCCAUACAGUAAAUAAUGGAAAAACUGGAUCAGAAGAAGAUGAAAAGUUUAUGGUGACACCACCCUCAAUUUCAUCAUUAUUCCAAUUGUCAUAGGGAUAAGAUUUACCCCAUUUAUAUCAGUGUGAGAACGGACAUGCGGUAUCAUUAGUGAGACUGUUGUUCCAAGACACUCCUGUCCUCGCUGGUCAGACACUGUGCAGUGAACAGGGUGUGCAUGUCAUCCUGGACCCAGUGCCCAGCAUUCAACUCUCUGACUGGUGGCAUCCUUAGCACCUGCCCUCCCUGACAGCACUGUUACUGCUUCCAGGCCCUGGGGGCAGCUGAGCUAGGACAGUCCAUCAGCAGUCGGACUCCAGUUUGGAGGGACAGCUGGAUUCACAUCUGGUUGGUGAUGCGCAUGCUCUGCAGGUUCCUGGGGCUCCUGUCAGGGGCGGGAGAAGGGCUGUGUCAAGAGAAAACAUCUAGGAUUUGUAACUGCAGCUUAAUAUGAAAAUGCACAUUUGAAAGGAGUAACCUGGACUUAUUUUCUGUGUGGAAACCCUAAUUGGUGAUUGGGGGUUGUGGUUCUUUAUUCUUUUAACCCACUGAAAAUGAACCAUCCUCCAGGGAAAUUUUUGAAUUUCCAAACAAGGAAGUUCCAGCAUUCUCUGAUGGAUCAGAGGAAGCUUAGAGACCUAAAGUUGUUGACUCCAUUGCUUCCAAUUUACCUGCCGCUCAAAUUCAGUUGAAUAUUUUCUCUUCUCCCCUUAUUCUUCCCCAGAAAUAAAGCAGGUGACAGUGUUUUCAGGAAGAAUACUUUAUGUGACACAAGACACCGUAAUAAGAGUUUGGAGACAUGUGGUACAAUAAAAAGUUUUGCAUUAUUUAGCAAAAGAUAUCUAGAUACAGAUACGUGCGACACAUAAGCACAUACACGCACGUAUUGUUAACUCCUUAAAUAAUAAGAAUGAAGGAAAAUGAUAGAAAGUGUGUCAAAGAUAUGAGCAGGUAACUCACAGAGAGAACCAUGAAAAUGCAAAAAUACACAAAAAUUCGUUGAAAUUUACUCUGGUAAAUGAGAGAAGCACAGAUUGAAAUGAUAAUAAGAUAAAUUUUUGCCCUUCAACUUGGGAAAAAUGAAAACCUUUGAUAAUUAUAAUUUCAAGAUUCCAAUACAUCUGUGAUCCCUAAGCAUCCUAAUGGUUAACUGCUAAGUUUACAGAAUCUUAGAAUUGUAGAGUUGAAAGGUACCGUGCAGUUCACCUGGUCUGGCCUCGUCAUCCUAAGGAUGGAGGCACCUGUGAUGCUCAGAGAGGCUGGCUUAUAUUCUUGAAGUCUUUGACUUUCUCCAUCCACAAAUACAUAAGGAACACACCUUCUUGACAUUUUAAAGUCCCUGAAUCUCUCUUCUUUUAUUAAUUUCCUUCUAAAGGAGAUAAAUGAUUGACUGGAACAUGCAAGUCACUUAAGCCGUGGGUGAACAAAUUUUUUCAUGUUAAAAAUGAAAUUCAAAAAAGUAUGAAUGUGGGAAAUUGAUCCACUUCUAUGGCACCUGGGUAAUUUGAUAGAUCCUACUAGAUAGAAGUUUGGCAGAACUUAUUACAAUGUAAAACAUACAUGCUCUUCAACCAAGUACCUGAGCCACUUGAUGCUUCUUCCAAGGAAAUUUACAAAUGUUCUCCCUGUGAUAUUUCUGAGACGUUCAUUGCAGAAUUAUUGUGAUAAUGAGAAAUGAGGCCAUGGAAAAGUACAUCAAAAAAAGGAAUGGAAGAUAUAAUUUAUUCAUAUUGUGUCAUAUAAAUAUAUGCAACAGCAGCCAAAAAGAAAGGUGUAGAUCUGUAUGUACGACAUGUAAAAACUCUCCAAAAACUAUUGUUGACUGCAGGACAAGUUGAGAACAAGUGAUAGUAUGAAAAAGUUUAUGUUAAAACACACCUACAACUAUAGUAAAUAUAAACAUUUUAUACAUAAAACAACCAUAAGAAGACUCUGAAAGGUGCAGAGAAGGCAGACAGCACAGGGACUCUGAGACCCAAGGAAAUACGCAGUGUUGAUUCUGUGGGUUUUCUUCCUGCCUCAUACAUCCAAGACUUGGAAUGAAGAGGUUGCAACCCAGAAAUACCAAUGGGUGCAGAUAAAAGAAGUGCCACCGAGAGAAGCCUCCUCCCCCUUAGCCAAAAGAGCGAGAAGGGGCAGCCAACACAACAGAGAGUAGGUCAACAGUAACUGCCCACUCCAACCAAACACCACAGAAAACACUGUGUCUUCCCCUCAGCAGCAGAGGCCAGGUGUGAAGACCAGCCCUCCACUCCUGCCGUCUGUAACGAAGCGCUCCUCUCACCCCACGGGCUGCAGCAGAGAAGGAGCUGGGAUGCUCAUCACGCCCAUUGGAAAGAGCCCCCGUCUGUGGAGUCAGUGGAGGCAUGUGGGGAGGUUUCUCCACAGCCCAGUCAGGUGGUGUCAGCAGAGGCCUGGCUGUGAGCAAGACCCUCCAACCCCACCCAGCGGUAACAAGGUAUCCCUCCCCCAUGGGAGCAUCAGUGGCGCCCAGCAGGAAAGCUGGAUCCCACCCUCAUGGGCCAGAAACGAGAUGGCAGCCCUUUCCCCACUGCAAUGAUGUCAGAGGAGUCAGCCAAAACUGAAGACUUUAGAAACAUAAUAUCUUAAGUUUAUGAGUCUAUGAAUUUCAAAACAUGAUACCUUACAUAUCCAGGGUAUGAUGAAAAAGUCAUUAUCCUCCCAAGA